AGGGCAGCAGCUGGGCUAGAAUGAAGCAGACAUCUCAGCUGAAGCCUUCAACUUGGACUACUACACAGAGGUUCUGGACCUCUCCUACCUGCUUGACCACCUGGCUUCUGACCCUUUCUUCCGCCACUACCGCCAG
rnacentral:sRNA from 1 species